CAGGAAUGUGUGGUAUCUGCAGGAGGAGGACCUCCGGAUGCUAGCAAUCUGUGUGUAUAAGCCCGAAGGUUUCUUUUUUUGGUUAGCGUUCGUUUUCCAUGCCUCCCUGCAGUUAUUUUCUCAAAAUACCACAUUUGCCCACCUGGUUUGAUUCCUACCCUUAAACCUAGCACGAAAUGUAGGUACAUUGGUUUCCCCAGCAGAUUAUGUUAUUUUUACAGAGCAUUUAUAUAUUGCCUUAGAUAUUCCUCUUCUUUCACAGAACCCUUAUCUCCGGUGACAGGUAAUGUUUCUAGAGAUUCGUGCAUGGCUCAAGAGGUGAUGAUCCACCUGGCUGGCUCCAUUUUUGUAAAUCUAGAGUGGCACGAGCAAUCUCCAUUUUAUUUCGGUACUGUCCGCGGUACUGUAACUUGAGCUCCUUUACAAUGUUGAGGUGGGCUGCCUCGCGAUUUUAAAAUGACAUUUGGCAAAGGGCUCGUGAAGGGAACAGACAGAGAUCCACAGAGGAGGCAGUCCGAAGGGCAGUGGAACAGCGGCCGCGGUUAUGGCAACCCACAAGACCGCUUACAAGGGAGGGGGCAGGCGUAAGGCCACGAACUCCAGCGGCGACGAAGAGAGAAAAUGUACGUGCGGAUGCUUUCUUCUUGGCAUGCUGGAGAGGACAAUCCGAUCCCAGCAGCGUCAGUUCAGACGUCUACAUGACGUGGUAAAAGGCUCAACUCUCGCACCUCUCAAGGGCGGUGGCUCUGGGCCUGCUUCCCAAGAGCCUUUGCGAUGUUUCCAAGGAGCCAAUCAGCGUCGCUGGCGUUGGCAAGCGAGGGCUAUAAAAGACCACGCGGGAGAAAAAUCUGCCUCUGGUUUUUUGCGCUGCAGCGGGUUGGUAGGGUAUAGUAAUUGUGGUGGGCUGUGGGGGGGGGAGCAGGAGGAAGGGGGCAAUCCGUCUCCAUCCUGCCGCUUUGAGCAAAGGAAUGGCGCUUUGUGGAUUGAGGCACAAAUGCCGGGUGCUGGUCUAGAAGCAAGAAGCCUUAGCACACCUGGGACCAGGAUGACUCCUGUGGGUGAAAAUCAGUGUCAGUCUGUAAGAACAACCUGGAGAUCCGCGAGAGAUGUCGUGACUGGUGGUGGCUGA
rnacentral:lncRNA from 1 species